rnacentral:rRNA from 1 species
UAAUAGCGUAUAUUAAAGUUGUUGCAGUUAAAAAGCUCGUAGUUGGAUUUCUGAUCGAGACAUCAGGUCGGGUCCGAGAGGAUCAUGUACUUUGAUUUUGUUUUGAUCAUCCUUGGGGAGAGCAUUUCUGGCAUUCAGUUGUCGGGAUUGGGAUCCUCAUCGUUUACUGUGAAAAAAUUAGAGUGUUCAAAGCAGGCCUCGGCCUCUGAAUACAUUAGCAUGGAAUAAUAAGAUAGGACUUUGGUGGUCUAUUUUGUUGGUUUGCACGCCAAAGUAAUGAUUAAUAGGGAUAGUUGGGGGUAUUCGUAUUCAAUUGUCAGAGGUGAAAUUCUUGGAUUUAUGGAAGACGAACUACUGCGAAAGCAUUUACCAAGGAUGUUUUCAUUAA